rnacentral:rRNA from 1 species
UACGGAGGAUGCGAGCGUUAUCCGGAUUUAUUGGGUUUAAAGGGUGCGCAGGCGGCACGGCAAGCCGGCGGUCAAAUCGCGGGGCUCAACCCCGCCCAGCCGUCGGAACUGCCGAGCUAGAGUGGGCGAGAAGUGCGCGGAAUGCGUGGUGUAGCGGUGAAAUGCAUAGAUAUCACGCAGAACUCCGAUUGCGAAGGCAGCGCACCGGCGCCCUACUGACGCUCAGGCACGAAAGCGUGGGUAUCGAACAGG